AUUGAACGCUGGCGGCAUGCUUUACACAUGCAAGUCGAACGGCAGCACGGGUGCUUGCACCUGGUGGCGAGUGGCGGACGGGUGAGUAAUGCAUCGGAACGUGUCCUGAAGUGGGGGAUAACGCAUCGAAAGAUGUGCUAAUACCGCAUAUUCUCUGAGGAGGAAAGUAGGGGAUCGAAAGACCUUAUGCUUUUGGAGCGGCCGAUGUCUGAUUAGCUAGUUGGUAGGGUAAUAGGCUUACCAAGGCGACGAUCAGUAGUUGGUCUGAGAGGACGACCAGCCACACUGGGACUGAGACA
rnacentral:rRNA from 1 species